AUUGAACGCUGGCGGCAUGCCUUACACAUGCAAGUCGAACGGCAGCACGGGAGCAAUCCUGGUGGCGAGUGGCGAACGGGUGAGUAAUGUAUCGGAACGUGCCCAGGCGUGGGGGAUAACGUAGCGAAAGCUACGCUAAUACCGCAUACGAGCUAUGGAUGAAAGCGGGGGACCGUAAGGCCUCGCGCUAUUGGAGCGGCCGAUAUCAGAUUAGGUAGUUGGUGGGGUAAAGGCCUACCAAGCCGACGAUCUGUAGCUGGUCUGAGAGGACGACCAGCCACACUGGGACUGAGACACGGCCCAGACUCCUACGGGAGGCAGCAGUGGGGAAUUUUGGACAAUGGGCGCAAGCCUGAUCCAGCAAUGCCGCGUGCAGGAUGAAGGCCUUCGGGUUGCAAACUGCUUUUGUACGGAGCGAAAAGGCUCUCUCUAAUACAGGGGGCUCAUGACGGUACCGUAAGAAUAAGCACCGGCUAACUACGUGCCAGCAGCAGCCGCCG
rnacentral:rRNA from 1 species